rnacentral:rRNA from 1 species
CGUAGGGUGCGAGCGUUAAUCGGAAUUACUGGGCGUAAAGCGUGCGCAGGCGGUUUAGUAAGACAGGCGUGAAAUCCCCGGGCUCAACCUGGGAACUGCGCUUAUGACUGGCAAGCUAGAGUACGGCAGAGGGGGUGGAAUUCCACGUGUAGCAGUGAAAUGCGUAGAGAUGUGGAGGAACACCAAUGGCGAAGGCAGCCCCCUGGGUCGAUACUGACGCUCAUGCACGAAAGCGUGGGUAGCAAACAGGAUUAGAUACCCUGGUAGUCCACGCCCUAAACGAUGUCAACUAGGUGUUGGAUGGGUAAAACCAUUUAGUACCGGAGCUAACGCGUGAAGUUGACCGCCUGGGGAGUACGGCCGCAAGGUU